rnacentral:lncRNA from 1 species
GUCACACUGUUGGCUCAUGUCAAGUUUGUGGUCAACCAAGACUCCUAGAUCCUUUUCACAUGUACUGCUCUCAAGCCAGGUGUCACCCAUCUUGUAUUUGUGCCUCUCAUUUUUUUUUUUGCCCAAGUGCAAUACUUUACAUUUCUCCCUGUUAAAAUUCAUCUUGUUUGUUUUGGCCCAGUUCUCUAAUCUGUCAAGGUUGUUUUGAAGUGUGAUCCUGUCCUCUGGGGUGUUAGCCACCCCUCCCAG